CCCCAAUUUCAGAAUCCAAACCUAGGUCAUGCGACUCACCAUGCCAUCUGCUAUCCAUCAUCAUCAGGAAGCCCGAAGCCGCCGAAGUUCCGAACAGCCCAAACGGCCGAACCGAAUCUCGUAUCACAAUCCACAAAACCCUUGGCCGAACCGAAUCCCGCCGCAACGCCUACUUCCUGCGCCCAACUCACCUAGGUCCAACAAGGUGAAUAAAUAACAUUAUCAUGGACGAGGCCAGUUAUAAUCCACCCCAAAAUGUUUCACCCGUUCAAAGUUGCGGCCAUUCUAUAGCACAAAUGAAUAGUGAAUAAUAUAGAGCAUGCCUUGAAUCAACAACACCAAAUACUUCAAAUCAAACAAUUUUUACAAAUGACAAUCAAGAAGUGAACUUGGGCAUUAAGCGAAAAUUGACUUCGGCGGUAUGGAACCAUUUUAAGAAAGAAAAAAUAGAUGAUAAAUGGAAGGCAAUAUGUAAUUAUUGUCAAAAGAAGCUUGGAGGAGAAUCAAAGAAUGGGACUAAACAUUUACAUGGUCAUUUUGCAUCAUGUCCAUUAAGGAAGACAAGAGAUAUUAAGCAAAGUAAUUUAAAAGGUAAGAUAAAUAAUGAAGGAAAGGUUUCACUUGGCACAUUUUCUUUUGAUAAAGAGGUUGCAAGAAAAGAGUUAGCUUCCAUGAUUGUUUUACAUGAGUAUCCAUUAACAAUGGUUGAGCAUCUUGGGUUUCGAAAGUUUGUUGGAGUUAUCCAACCAUUAUUUAAAAAUAUUUCUAGGGGAACAUUGAAAAAGGAUAUUCUCAAAAUAUAUGAGCAUGAAAGGGCAAAGACAAUGAAAUUGUUUGAAGAAAAUACUAAUAGAUUUGCAAUCACAACUGAUAUGUGGACAUCAAGCAAUCAAAAGAAAGGUUUUAUGGCUAUUAUGGCACAUUAUAUUGAUGCAUCAUGGAGUUUGCAAGGUCGAAUUAUCAGAUGGCUUGGAGGUUAUUUUUGAAGCUAUUGAAAAAGUUCGUGAAAGUGUUGCUUUUUGGAGUGCAACACCUAAAAGGAAUGAGAAGUUUGAAGAAACAGCUCGCCAGUUGAAAGUUUCUUGCACUAAAAAAUUGAUUUUAGAUUACAAGACAAGAUGGAAUUCUACAUACUUCAUGCUUAAUGUUGCUAUUUGUUACAAGGAUGUUUUUAAACGCUUGAAGCAAAGGGAGCCUUUUUACAAAUAUGUCCCAUUGGAUGAAGAGUGGGAAAUGGCUCAAGAAAUUUGUGGCAAACUAAAAAUGUUUCAUGCUAUCACAGAGGUAUUUUCUAGAACUAAGUACCCUAUUGCUAAUAUUUAUUUUUCCAAGAUUUGUGAUAUUAAAUUAGCAUUGAAACAGUGGAUUAAUUGUGGCCGACCUCAUAUUCAAGCUAUGGAAUAAAAACUGAUGGAAAAAUUUGAUAAAUAUUGGACUCAAAUGCAUGGUAUUAUGAGUGUAGCAACUAUUUUGGAUCCUCGGUAUAAGAUGAAGCUAUUGGAAUAUUAUUGCCCUCUUAUUUAUGGUGAUGAAGUGGCAAAGAUGGAAAUUGAUAGAAUUCAAAAGAUUUGUUAUCAUUUAAUUUCUGAAUAUUCAGCAAAGUUCAACAUCGGUGGAUAUGGUGGUUGUUCAAAGUCAUCAAAAGAUUAUCCUACCCAAUCAUCAUUAAGUGAAGAGUCAAAAUCAAUGAGUAAUUUUGACUUAUUUGUUGCUUCUAUUGAGACUGAAAAGGAGACUGUCAGUACAGAAUUUGAUCAUCAUUUGGAAGAGCGUUUGAUACCAGGAAAAGGUGAUUUUGAUACUUUAAGUUGGUGGAGAACGGUACUUAAUUAUCCUACACUGUAAUUGAUUGCUAGAGAUAUUUUGGCAAUUCUUGUGUCUACCGUGGCUUCAGAGUCGGCUUUCAGUACAAGUGGGUGAGUUGUGAGUCCACACCAUAGUAGCCUUCAUCCUGACAUACUUGAAGCAUUAAUGUGUACACAAAAUUGGUUAUGGACUCAAAUGAAAGGUAAGUAAAGAUGGGUGAAAUAUAUAACUAUUACAUAUUUUAAUGAAUAGUUUGAUCUAAUAAAUGUUUAUAAUUUUUAAGAUUCUAAUUCAACAACCGCUCAUUCUACAUGUUACACAAUUAGUGAUGAUAUGGAUGUGGUGGAUGAAGAGGUAAGGUAUUAAAUAUUCAAUGCUUAAACGUUAUAUACAUUGUUAUAUUAAUAGAAUUUAUUUUUUUGCUUGAUUUAUAUUUUAGGUUGAUGUUCAUCAUAAGGAUGGAACCGCAAUUAAUUUAUGAGUUGAUAAGUGUGGAGUUGGAUUUUGUGUUUAACAAAUUAAUGGUUUUAGAUUGUGUCAACGGACUUGAUUGGCUUUUUUAUGUGACUGCAUAAAAGAAGCUCUACGGACUACGUCUAUGUGCCAUGAAAUCCUAAGACAAGGAGGCUUUAUAGUUUAUAUUCUACAUUUUGAGUAUCGGACUUGUAUUAGAUUCUAGUAUUGUAAUUGUAUGAAUUCUAAAUUCCAUGUUUUGCUUGAUAAACAUUUGGAGUGUUUUGUUUUUGUAACUUUUUAUAUGUUGGUUUGUUGAGCUUU